rnacentral:misc_RNA from 1 species
GUGAGUCAUCGAAUCUUUGAACGCACAUUGCGCCCCUUGGCAUUCCGAGGGGCAUGCCCGUUCGAGCGUCAUUAUAACCCCUCAAGCCUAGCUUGGUGUUGGGGCCUGCUGUUACCGGCAGCCCUUAAAAUCAGUGGCGGUGCUAUCUGGCUCUAAGCGUAGUAAUACUUCUCGCUACAGGGUCCCGGUGGAUGCUUGCCAUUAACCCCUAAUUUUCUAUGGUUGACCUCGGAUCGGGUAGGGAUACCCGCUGAACUUAAGCAUAUCAAUAAGCGGAGGA